CAUGUUUUAAGCUAUUGCAUAGCUUCUAUCGCGGGCCUUGAGCGCGGGGACCGAAUCCAGAAAUUCCGUAACGAAAAAACCUCACGCUCCCCACUUCGUCUAACGUCGUUUCAGUUCGGCAGUCUUCGACACGGCGUUGUGUGCGUGCGAUUAGACGUAUUGUACUACUCAGAGACUUGUCAUACGCUUCGCUUGACAGACAGAUGAAGUGUGCGAAAGGGAAGCCAUCACGUAUAUGAACAAGCCACGAGUGUGAAAGAGGCAGACUACAUAUGAGAAAACGUAACCAUUUUUUGAAUUCGAAGGCGGCCGAGGCGGCCAAAAUCAUAUUGCCGUAUUUUUUAACGUUAAAAAUAUACGAGAAUCAAAAUCAAAAAUAAAUAUUAAGUAAGUCAUUUAGUGAAGAUGGUGUCAUGUUGUGUGCCGGAUUGUUGUGUUUCAGGGCCAAAAAACCCAGGGAAAUACUCAUUUCACAGGUAAUUAUGAUAAUCGUAGCGAAAUUUUCGUAACGAUAUUAUAUCAAAUUAACAGCAUAAAAAGUGUAAAAAGCCAAUUUAUACAGUUCAUUAUAAGUUUUUCUUCAAUUGUGUGUUAAUAUUUCAUGAUAUUAGUCAAUAAUUUAGAAUAUUUUGUGUAAAAACCUAAACUGUUACUUUACGCUAGGGCUUGACAAAAUGUUCAUAUGACUGUAUCGAUAACUUGUCGGUAUAUUAGUAGGUAUGGAAUUAGUUGUUCACAAGACAUCAUUAAGAUAUUACCUUUAUAACCGACUUAAAAUAAUAACGAUUGUUUUAAUACCUUUUUUGAACGUGUACAUGUUUAGCGAUAAAUUUAAACUUCACUUUCCAACACAGUACUUACAUUUUAACCACUUUUCCACGGCUUUGCCGCCAACACAAGGAAACACAAGACAGCGUAUACUUGUACACAGCGUAUACACAUCCAACCCAAGUUGUCAACAGGAAAAGGCGCGAAAUUCAAAUUUUCUUUGGUAAGUCAACUCUUUGCGAACACAUUUUCAAACAACUUCAACUUUAUCAUUUUCAACUUUUUCAAACACAUUUGAAAAAGUAGUCGAUAAAGCAGUUAAACAUCGAUAGAUUAUUAAUAUGUUGUAACAUGACAUCACUAUUUUUGUUCGCACAUAGACAAUUUACGCACA